CCAAAAUGCUGUCACUGGACUCUGCUACAGUUUCUCUACUGAUGCUCACUCUCCUAACAGGCAUCAGCUGUCAACAACUCACCCCAGAAAAGAAAGAAGAGUCCAGUUUAGAAGGCAGCACUGUUACUCUGUCCUACACUUACAAAGUGACAACUGGAGAUUAUUUCUUUUGGUAUCGACAAUAUCCAGGAAAAGCACCAGAGUUCCUGAUCUCACACACGUAUUCAGGAUCAGUACUAGCAGAAAAAAUUCCUGGACUGAAGAUUCAAGUGGAGGGAAACCAAAUCAAGAUGAGCAUCAUCUCUGCUGCAAUGUCUGACUCUGCUGUGUACUACUGUGCUGUGCAGCCCACAGUGACAGGAAACAGCAAAACUCUGUACAAAAACCUUUGGAGCAAAGACAACAGAAUACUCCACAACAUCCACUAGAGGGAGCCACACACUGUUAAACCUCUGAUUCUUGUGUCAUUGGACUGAUGACAAAGACAACAGAGAAAUGAAGCAGUAAAGAUCAGAGACAGAGACAGAGCUGCUGUGGAAGCACAAAACUAU